AGCGAACGCUGGCCGCAGGCUUAACACAUGCAAGUCGAGCGGGCAUCCUUGUGGUGUCAGCGGCAGACGGGUGAGUAACGCGUGGGAACGUGCCCUUCGGUUCGGAAUAACUCAGGGAAACUUGAGCUAAUACCGGAUACGUGCGAGAGCAGAAAGGUUUAUCUGCCGAAGGAUCGGCCCGCGUCUGAUUAGCUAGUUGGUGAGGUUACGGCUCACCAAGGCGACGAUCAGUAGCUGGUCUGAGAGGAUGAUCAGCCACACUGGGACUGAGACACGGCCCAGACUCCUACGGGAGGCAGCAGUGGGGAAUAUUGGACAAUGGGGGCAACCCUGAUCCAGCCAUGCCGCGUGAGUGAUGACGGCCUUAGGGUUGUAAAGCUCUUUUCUCCGGGACGAUAAUGACGGUACCGGAGGAAUAAGCCCCGGCUAACUUCGUG
rnacentral:rRNA from 1 species